rnacentral:lncRNA from 1 species
AAGACAUAUUUUUAAGUUUGGUUUUGGCUACAAAAGUUUUUAUUUAUCCUUUUGGUUGCAAAUUUUUCUAUAGAUGCAAAGCUGCAACCAAACUGGUACUUACCAAGAAAAGUUAUCAUCUGAGUGUAACCUGGAUUAGAUGAAGUCAUAUACAUGGUGGCUAAAGAUGUAAUAUAUAGAUUUCACGAGAAUUAUAGAUGGAUAAAUUUUUUCUUUU